rnacentral:rRNA from 1 species
CAGUAGCCGCGGUAAUACGAAGGGGGCUAGCGUUGUUCGGAAUUACUGGGCGUAAAGCGCACGUAGGCGGAUAUUUAAGUCAGGGGUGAAAUCCCGCAGCUCAACUGCGGAACUGCCUUUGAUACUGGGUAUCUUGGGUAUGGAAGAGGUUAGUGGAAUUGCGAGUGUAGAGGUGAAAUUCGUAGAUAUACGCAGGAACACCAGUGGCGAAGGCGGCUAACUGGUCCAUAACUGACGCUGAGGUGCGAAAGCGUGGGGAGCAAACAGGAUUAGAUACCCGGGUAGUCCCUGUCUCUUAUAC